rnacentral:lncRNA from 1 species
AAAGGUGGCUUUCUGUAGCUAUAUAUGUUUCUACAUUAGUUCUAGCCUUCUAGGUGCCUUCUGAUGGCUAUCUUUUAGGUUCUUUUGGGAUCAAUAAUUGCAAACUGCUGCUUAAAGAUUAUGUUGUUUUACAAUUUUACAUUUAGUGUAAUGGUAAGCAAAUGGCUUAUCUUCUCUUUGCAAGUGAUCUAGGCGUACUUUUUG